rnacentral:lncRNA from 10 species
AGGCGGGUCGGGGGAGGGCAGGGGAACGGAAGGGGUACCCGGGGAGCAUCCUAAGGGAACCUCUUCGCUUAAAAGGGCGGCCGCUGAAGUGGCUCUGAGAACAAAGGAGUUAACACUCGGACUCCACAGGUGGCCCGGGGUGGCCCUGGAGGAGCCCGCCUUUACCUUGCCCUAGCCCACCGGCGCGUCCCGCAGUUCCGAACUAAACGCGCCAGGCCGGGAAGGCUCGGGCUGUCUGAAGAGAGGCGUGACCUCGCCUACACCAGAUCCAAGGCGCACAUACCGAGACACCCCUCAACCUCACUCAGCAGUGCCGUUUCCAACUCCGCGGCAGAGACAGCGCCUGGCGACCCCGGGGGCUGCGUCCCCGCCCGGUCAGCAUCGCAGGUGUUACCCAAACUCUGACGGUCCCUUUAAGAACUCACCCGGAGUCGCGCCCUCCGAAGCUGAGCCGCCCUCGGCCAGCGCUGCAGGCAAAACCGGAAGGCUCUUCCCAGUAAACCUGACGGCCUCUGACUGAGGCCGUAUCCAUUGGCUACCAAAGGGAAGGCCGAGGAACCUCGUAUUGUAACCUUAACAGCUACUCAGAGGUAUACUGACCACUGGUUUUACUUUUGGAUUGCACCUUAGAAUCCUAACUUACUGUAAGGACCCACCGACUUUAGAACCUAUCUAGGACAAGGAACCGAGGUCCGGAAAAAGGGAAGCAACUUGUCCAAGGACAUAGACGCUAAUCAGUAACAGAGCAGCCGAGAACUCAGGUCUCCUAGCUCUAGUCCAGGGCUCUUUCUCUUGUGAUUUUGGACAACUUGACAGAGAGGUAUGUUGGUAUGUUGGCAGCAGACCUCUGUGCUUUCCCGGAUCAAGCCCCAGCUUAUAAAUCUAUGAAGGUGUCCAGGUCCUGCCAGACUCCGCUGCAUCUUUUGCUUUCACUCCAGCAGGGUAGCAGCAUGCUGCCUGUGCCAAGGCAAUCACUAAAAGGAAAGGAUUUAAUGCUGUCAAAAAAGCUUAUGCCAGCUUAGGCUGCAGGAAGAGGAACAGUGUCAAGUAUGUUGAAAGUGGACAUAUUGGUCAGACCUCCAUGAGAGCCUAGGGGGCAUUGCUUAGCAGCACGCUUUUAAAGGAAUCUGAACAAACCAGCAUGUGGAAAGAAGAGAGUAACCACAGCAAUCAGGAAACAACUGUACAAUCUAGGGCCAUUUCAUUGGAAAAACAGAAGUCUCCAGGGAGCUGCAGUCAUCAAACAGGCUUAUUCUGUGUACCCAGUGGGCAAGUACAGUCAAUGGAUGAAAAUUCAACCAAUGGACAAACACAGGAAGUUUUUCCUUAACAUGAGUUGUCAGAAACUGUCCAAAAUUCCAAAGAGCUGCCUCAAGGUAGUGGAAAUUUUUUUUUUUUUUUAAUCAGGAAGGUGCUGAAUGAAGCCAGCAAGGAUUCUGUGUCAGAGGGUGGUAGAUACCCAGGACAUAAGGUUGAACCACGUGACCUCUGAGACCACAGUUCUAAGCUGUUGAAACCUCAGUCCCUGCUGAAUACUGAAAUGGUAUUAGCACCCUUUAGUCUACAUCAAGAAUUCGUUCUACCCAGUUUUGGUGGUACCAAGACUGAUCUCUUUCUCAUAGAUAAUUCUUAACAGAAUAAAAGCUACAGGUUGAAACCAAUUCCCUUUAAAAUGUGGACAGUUGACCAUCUCCAUGAUAGGUAGUUAGGCACUGAAUUAAUGCUUUUUAAUGGAAGAGCCACCCUAAGAUUCCUGGAGUGUGGUAUAAUGGAGUACUAAAUCAGCAUAGGACUAAUAACUGCCUCCCGUGUAAACUGGUCUAUCCGGAGAGUGGUAUAGCCUCUCAUACAGUGUUCAAAGGCAGAUUUAACUCACUGCAGGUCCACAGCAACCGAUAAGAUAAACUCGUUGGUUAUGGUCUCCCACUUUGCAAAGGAGAGCACAGAGGAAGAGGAAACUGAGAUAACUUGGUUUAGGACCCCACAGCUGGCUGGAGCUGGGCUGAACAUUAGUUCAUUGUUUCUUCGAUUAAUCUAUGCUGCUUUUUCUCUACUUGGCUCCUUUUCUAAAUUAAACAAAACAAAACAAAAUUUGUCUGAGAAGGAAAUUGCAA